rnacentral:rRNA from 1 species
CAACGAGCGCAACCCCUAUCUUUAGUUGCCAUCAUUUAAGUUGGGCACUCUAAAGAGACUGCCGGUGUCAAACCGGAGGAAGGUGGGGAUGACGUCAAGUCCUCAUGGCCUUUAUGACCAGGGCUACACACGUACUACAAUGGCCGGUACAAAGGGCAGCGACACAGCGAUGUGAAGCCAAUCCCGAAAAGCCGGUCUCAGUCCGGAUUGAAGUCUGCAACUCGACUUCAUGAAGUCGGAAUCGCUAGUAAUCGCGGAUCAGAACGCCGCGGUGAAUACGUUCUCGGGGUUU